rnacentral:rRNA from 1 species
UAGUCCACGCAGUAAACGAUGAGUGCUAGUUAUUGGGAUCAUUGAUUUCGGUGGCGAAGUUAACGCGUUAAGCACUCCGCCUGGGGAGUACGGCCGCAAGGCUAAAACUCAAAGGAAUUGACGGGGACCCGCACAAGCAGUGGAGCAUGUGGUUUAAUUCGAUGCUACGCGAAAAACCUUACCAGCUCUUGCAUCCUGGUCGUGAUUUUCAGAGAUGAAUUUCUUCAGUUCGGCUGGACCAGUGACAGGUGUUGCAUGGCUGUCGUCAGCUCGUGUCGUGAGAUGUUAGGUUAAGUCCUUCAACGAGCGCAACCCUCAUCCUUAUUUGCCAUCAGGUUAUGCUGGGAACUAUAAGGAAACUGCCAACGAUAAGUUGGAGAAAGGUGGGGACGAUGUCAAGUCAUCAUGGCCCUUAUGGGCUGGGCUACACACAUGCUACAAUGGUGAUUACAACGGGUAUGCAAUACAGUAAUGUUGAGCUAAUCCUUA